CCGGGCGGGAAGGUAGCAACCCAAGCAGGAGCGCCUGCUGCCGCGCUCACUCCAGCCAUCUUGGCCGCUGGUGGUCCGUGCUCGCGCUCUACAAUUAGCUGUCGGUAAGACGGCUUCCAGUGGGCUGAGCCGUUGAAUUGGCUCAACAGCGUGCUGGGUAUCCGGGUCCCCUGCCGUCCCCUCUGCCUCGUCAUUGUCGUUGUUAUUAUCGCCAUUGCUGUCCAGCUCUGGCCGCAGCGUGAACAGCCCGGGAGGCUGAGACUCUUCAGGGCCUCAGAUGUGCAGGUGGUUCCCCAGCAUGGCUGCAGCUGACCGCUGUUCUCUCCAGCCCCUUCACUCCCCCUUUUUUUCUUUAAUACUUUGAAAUUUGCGCUCACUCAGCUCGUAUGGAUCCAGCAGAUGCCUUCAGGAUCUUUCAGCGGUGUUGACCACAUGGCUCUCGUUUUGUUGACAGCUGAUAACCCACAGCCCUGGUCUGGCAACUGGAAUCUGGAGGACUCCAGGGGUGGAACAAGUCACCUGAAGUACUCACUUAUGCCUGACUAUGUCAAGGUCCCAACCUGCUAUGUUGGCUACACUAAGGGUGGCUUUGGGGGAAAAGAAGGAUACCAACUCCAGAGCAAACCCUUUCAUCCCUCAAAGCAGCCUGCCCCAGAAUAUGAGUCAGACCUCACUUUGCAUGCUGAAAUAUACCACUGUGGAGAGAGGAGAGAAAAUCUAUCAAUAGGCUUGUCUUGACCCUUCUUCAGUAUGAUCUAAGUCAUUUCUCAGCUCCACAGUUAACAUCCUCAAAUCCACAACCUGUCAAAGAUCCUCAGCAAGCUGGCAGAUAAUACCUACUUGAAUGUGUGAACUCUACUAAAAUUGACUCCUAGACAAGCCAUGGGGAAAUCUUUGUUUCCCAUAUGAGUCUGUAUUUUCAAUCCCAAAGGAAUAGAACCUGAGGGAAAGACUUUAAAGAGAGAAAACAAGGAAGAUGGAAUUUAAAUGUUUCCAACAAUGGAAAAACAUAUGGAAAGUCCCCCAAACCCAAGAAUACCAUGUCAAACAUGCACCAUAUGUAGAGUUCCCCAAAGCAGGAAACUGAAAAAAACAAAAACAAAACACAGUUGAAUACUUCUACAGAAGAAGAAGUUGAGGGGAAGACUAUUAUUUACCUGAAGUGCUGACAGUGAUGGUUGCCCCUAGGGAUUUGCUGGCUGGAGAUGUGGUGCCUUCAUGUGAAGUGAGGUCUGCAAUAGCAGUGCUGGCACUUGGGCUUUCACUAAUGCCUGUGAAAAAGGAAAGUCAGUCAAUCUCUCAGUCAGCCACAUGGAUUGAGGCUUUACUGCACACCAGGCAGAGAGUCUUCUCAGAGAUGAACAAGUAUGAAAAGACUAAGCAUGAACAGACUAAAAAAAAAAGACCAAAUUCUCCUUGAAGUUCAUACAAAUAAUUUGGGUGUCUUUUGUCACUCCAUGCCUUUCCUACCCAGCCUCCAGAGUUCCCAUUUGUCAUAACCCAAGUCUGCAACACAUCUAAAGCAUUUGACCAGAAUGUGGACAUGCAAAGAGUGCUGGAAGGGUCAUUUCAUCUCCAAGGAUGAGAAGACUGUCAUCAAUGACAAUGAGAUAUGAGACGGAUCACCAGAACACAAGGCUCUCCGGUGUACAGAAAUAGAGGCCCUGAAGGGCAACAAUCUUGCCAGGGAAUGCCUUCCUGUUGAAGAUAUUUGACUUUUACAAACCUUAAGGCUUGACUUCCUCCAUUCAAACAUAACCCUCCAGAGAGGAAGAAAGAGUUGUCACUUGUGAGCAGGGCUCAAGUGGAAAGACCAGGAUCUGAACCAGAGACUUUACCUGAUGGGAAAGGAAUGUCUCUUGUAAAUGUGAACCUUGGAGGGGGGGAAGGCAGAUGCCUUUUUCUAUGAUAAUUGAAGAUGGCAUGAAUAUC